rnacentral:pre_miRNA from 1 species
CAUGCACCGGUGGGGUUCCUCAGCCUGGCCUGUGCUUUCUUGCUAUCUGGGACCCCUUGGGGGAUGUCCAACUGCUGAUUUUGGCCUGAUCCCGCAGGCCAGGCUGAGGGACCCCACCGGUGCACC